rnacentral:snoRNA from 1 species
UGCACUGUAUGGUAUCUGCAUCCAGCGGCAUCCUCCUGUUGGAUGCUCAAAAAGCAGUGCCACAGCAAUUUCAACAUCUGGCAUCGUUGGUUUUCAUGCUGUUGUGCUUGUUAAGCCUGGUAUUGUUGAUACAAAUCA